CCUGUAACGACAGAUUUAGACCGGCAGGGAAUCUGAAUCAUUUAAUUAAAGAAACAAGCUGGUUUUAUACAGUUCUUCAAGGCACAGUGUUUCCUUACAUGAUACGUGUCAGAAAGAAGGGACACGCAAGACUUGUAUAUCAGUCACUUUAGUAGCUGAAUUUCCCAUAAACUUCCACUGAGAUCCGAUUAGCUCUGCAGGGAGCAAUAAUCUCCUCAGAUGUUGUACUUCAAGCCCUCUCUGGAUAUUUGAUUCUGUGAACAGCUGCUGAACAUUCAGAUUGAUUGCUUUUCCUUCACAUACUACUGAAGAGUUCAUUUAUUCCGCUGCAGUCUGGUGGGAUUUAUAUUUGAGUACUAUCCUGAGCCUGUGUUCCAGCCCAAAGCUCUUCAAAGUGCAUCCACGCUGCUCAGACUUGGCCCUGUGCUCAACAGCAGACCUUAGGAGACCUCGGGGGUCCAGAAGAGGCAUAUGCUGAGAGCACUGAAUGAAUAUCUUUGGAGUGCAGAGAGUGUGGACAGGUCUGUUCCAGUCUGGUAGCAGCAUUGGAUGGUCAGUGUUGGGCUCCUUCAUCCAUCAGCAUAGCACACAGAUGUCUCACUUUAGAUGAAGGAAGAAACUGGAUUUUCUACCAAGAUGAGUGGAAGUGCAGUAAGACCUCGGUGCCAGUACUGCCCAACUGC